rnacentral:rRNA from 1 species
AUUGAACGCUGGCGGCAUGCCUUACACAUGCAAGUCGAACGGCAGCACGGGUGCUUGCACCUGGUGGCGAGUGGCGAACGGGUGAGUAAUACAUCGGAACAUGUCCUGUAGUGGGGGAUAGCCCGGCGAAAGCCGGAUUAAUACCGCAUACGAUCUACGGAUGAAAGCGGGGGAGCUUCGGGCCUCGCGCUAUAGGGUUGGCCGAUGGCUGAUUAGCUAGUUGGUGGGGUAAAGGCCUACCAAGGCGACGAUCAGUAGCUGGUCUGAGAGGACGACCAGCCACACUGGGACUGAGACACGGCCCAGACUCCUACGGGAGGCAGCAGUGGGGAAUUUUGGACAAUGGGCGAAAGCCUGAUCCAGCAAUGCCGCGUGUGUGAAGAAGGCCUUCGGGUUGUAAAGCACUUUUGUCCGGAAAGAAAUCCUUGGCCCUAAUACGGUCGGGGGAUGACGGUACCGGAAGAAUAAGCACCGGCUAACUACGUG